GUAGGUGGCAAGCGUUGUCCGGAAUCAUUGGGCGUAAAGCGCGCGCAGGCGGUUCUUUAAGUCUGAUGUGAAAGCCCACGGCUCAACCGUGGAGGGUCAUUGGAAACUGGAGAACUUGAGUACAGAAGAGGAAAGCGGAAUUCCACGUGUAGCGGUGAAAUGCGUAGAGAUGUGGAGGAACACCAGUGGCGAAGGCGGCUUUCUGGUCUGUAACUGACGCUGAGGCGCGAAAGCGUGGGGAGCAAACAGGAUUAGAUACCCUGGUAGUCCACGCCGUAAACGAUGAGUGCUGAGUGUUAGGGGGUUUUCCGCCCCCUUAGUGCUGCAGCUAACGCAUUAAGCACUCCGCCUGGGAGUACGGCCGCAAGGCUG
rnacentral:rRNA from 1 species